GAGGUAAUAGCUCAGUGGUAGAGUAUGUGCCUACUAGCGAGCACAAGGUCCUGGGUUCAGUCCCCAAUACUUCC
rnacentral:tRNA from 1 species